UUUUCCCUGCGGUGUCCGCGAAGGCAUAUAUUCCUUUGAACCAAUAAGUUCGCUUAAGGUUGCCGGGAGUUGCAGUGGGCGCGAGUGUCUAUUCUUAGAUGCACCCGAAGCUGCCCGAGGUGACCGCCUUGUCAACAAGGUUCAAGCGGAUUCAGCCAAAACGGCUCUCGCGGGGAUUCC
rfam:Neisseria mucosa ATCC 25996 N_mucosa-1.0.2_Cont16.1, whole genome shotgun sequence.